AUGUUGUCCCUCCUGCCGUCCCCCGUAGCCAGCACGCUCCCAGGCGCCGCCUACCUCCUCCCCAGCCUCACCAGGAUUCCCAUCCUCCGAACCCCACCGCGAGCCAGCAUGAGCGCGGCCGCCUCCACGCCGGACGCAGUUCCGUCUCCCGCCGCCGCCGCUGUCGGCGAGGAACCGAGGAAGGUGGCCGAGGACGUGGUGGUGCAGUACGUGGUGCUGCGGCGCGACCUGGCGGACGCGUGGCCCCUGGGGAGCGUGGUGGCGCAGGGGUGCCACGCCGCCGUGGCCGCCGUCUGGGCGCAUCGCGACCACCCGGACACCGCCGCCUACUGCGCGCCCGGCAACCUCGACAGCAUGCACAAGGUAACAUUGGAGGUGAAAGGGGAGACACAGCUGAAGAACUUGGCUGAGAAACUGGAAGCAGCUGGUGUACGGCACAAGCUGUGGAUAGAGCAGCCCGAGAACAUCCCGACUUGCAUAGCCACAGCACCCUGCCCAAAGUCGCAGGUAGCUUCGUUCUUUAGGAAGCUAAAGCUUUGCAAAUGA
rnacentral:rRNA from 1 species